CAGCCGUGGGGCCACAGAAGGCAGGAUCGGUGCUGACAUCCACCAUGGCCUGGUCCUUUCUCCUCCUCACCCUCCUCGCUCACUGCACAGGUGA
rnacentral:pre_miRNA from 1 species